rnacentral:piRNA from 1 species
UGAAUGCUGGGUAAAGUCCCAGUG